AGACUUGCCAAGAAGGGGAGAUACCAUGAUCACAAAGGUGGUUUUCCCAGGGCGAGGCUCACCCAUUGCACUUGGGGUGUGCUGAUCCCUGCAAUUUCCCCAAAUUCGGGGAAACUCGACUGCAUAAUUUGUGGUAGUAGGGGACUGCGGUCGAGCUCUCUCCUG